rnacentral:rRNA from 1 species
UUUUAUGAGAGUUUGAUCCUGGCUCAGGACGAACGCUGGCGGCGUGCCUAAUACAUGCAAGUCGAACGCUUCUUUUUCCACCGGAGCUUGCUCCACCGGAAAAAGAGGAGUGGCGAACGGGUGAGUAACACGUGGGUAACCUGCCCAUCAGAAGGGGAUAAC